rnacentral:lncRNA from 1 species
CACAAUUAGAAAACCUCAGGGCAGACAGACCUGAGUCAUGGGGCACAGAGACAUUCGACUUCCUGUAGAAUUGCAAGAUCAUUCUGUAAAGUGGCUUUGGUUUCUCACUCCCAGGGGCAAUAUGCAGGUGUCCAGCUGCUCACAUGGGGAGUUCUGGGAGGAGCCGAGAGUAGCCCACUGUCCACCUUUGGACCUGGCCAGGGGAACUUUGGAUUCAGGCCCUGUACAAACAGCAUCUCUGGGACACAGCCUGCAGAUUGCCACUUGGAUGGUACCCGGGUGGGUUGCACAACUGGACAAAGCGCCUACUGCUUCAACCCACUCACGUGAAUGGAGGUGGACCUGCCUCCAGGACAAACUUGCCAAGAUCGUAGAUUGUAAACUGCUUGCGACUAAGCAGUUUUCUACCUUCCAAGAGAUGAAGUUAAGUAAUUCUAAGCCAGAUGUGCAGUCUGCAGAUGCACGAGGUGCAGGAUCAGGUCAGAUCUGUGGGUCCCUUGGCCUGAUCCCCUAGUACAGUGGAUGAAUCUAUGCGACCAUGCCCAGGCUGCCCUUCCCUGGAAAAUACACAACACAGAGUCCCUCCCAGUCACCCCAGCCCUCACACCCCCUGUCAACAGUCAUCAAGGGACCAAGAGCCCAUCCUCAAGACAACUCAGCCAUGAUUCACACUCCACAGCCCCCAUCAUCCUGAGGAAGGGCUGAUGACAGUUAACAUUGGUUAGCAACUUGCCAGCAUCUAGAAUCUGCCUGGAGACAGGCUUUCUGGGCCCGACCAUGUUGAUGGUCUAGACUAGGUUAGCUCUGUGCAUGCCUCUGAGGGG